ensembl:lncRNA
CAGGUUAUGUCUGGUUCUGCACAUAAUGUGAAUGAGAUUGAUAUAAGGCUUUAAUAACGGUUAAUAAUAACGGCAAGCUUGUAGCAGUACUACGCUCAUGGCGGGGAUUGCUACGAAAAACAAGAAGAAACACCCAAGGUAAAUUCAGUUCAACGCUUUUAUCACUAGCCAACUAGCUUAGCAACCGCGGAUUAUGUUUAAGUUUGACUUCACCAAUACAUAAGGCAAGAACGCUAGCGCUAAGGUUAGAUUUUGGCAUAAACCUAACGAGUGGACCACAGAUGCACAGAAUUUGUAUAAACUAGUGUCAGUGUCCACAUUUUGGGGGUGGUGUACUGGUAGUGCUACGGUGUAGCAACUAACGGUUUUCUUCUAAAAUGUAACAACUAGACGCGCUAUCGAUAAGUGAUUUUGAGGAGUGGCUCCAUAGUAGGCUAACCCUAACUAGAAUAGGGCAAACAGACGUCCCCGAUUUUAAUUGCCUGUCCCAUUGGAUAUUUCAAUCACAUUAAUAUCCAAACUGGAAUGUCCCCGGUGUUUCUGCCUCAUCGGGACCAUGGCCUCGUUUGAUGACGUCUGGUCACUUUAGACUAUAAGCUAGAUAGACAAAGAUAGUUGUUGGACCACAAAAUACAGAAUAUGGACCAGUAAACAUCAAAAGAAAAGCCAACGCUGACAACCCCCCUAACAUGAAAUCAUUUGUGUAUAGGCAUUUCAACCGGCACAGAGGUGGGCCUGCCUGAGGAGGUCCUUGAGAACGACAGUGCCGAGGUGUCUGAAUCAACUGAGGUCAUACUGACGUUGAUGGAUUCAGAGUGUGACAGCAGGACUCUGCCAACAGCAAGAAUUAUCCCAUCCCCUGGUAAAAAGAAGAAACACAUAAGCCUACAAGAGGAGUUUCUGGAGUUGGAGAAGGAGAAGCUGUUGGUGAUGCGAGAGAAAUUAAAUGUUGAGAAGGAGAGACUGAAAUUGGAUAAAGAAAAAUUUGAAGUAUUUUAUUUACCACGGGAACAAUAUUGUGAACUUAUUUGAACAAUGGAAUUAAAUCAUUUGCACACUUAUUUAAAUUUGAUUGAGUUAAAC